GUUAGUGAAAUGAAGAGUUGCUACAGGGCAGAAAGCAAAUAAUAAGAGCUCUGUAAACCAAUUUGGUUACUUACUUUCCCUCCAACUCAGGUGCCAUUCACUUAAGCAUUCUUGUGAAGGAACAGCUAUCGGCUAAGUCGUACCAGGGAAAUGCCAAUACAAAAAUAUCAGUAUGUACCUUAAGUAUUGAAUGGAUGUCAAAUACUGGGCAUGAAGAUUGCUAAGCAAAUCUAAGGAACAACUCUCCAAAGGCCACAGAUAGAGAAAAUAAAUACUUCUCUGAGAGAGAGAACUCACAAAGACUGUAGUCUGACCAAUUUCAAUGCCAAGGUUAUAUUGGCAGUUUGUGACAUGGAGGAAUGAAAUUCUUGUCCAAAGGCGAUAUACAAGCUUCAUGUUCUUCUAUACUUGGAUAAAAAAGAAGAGGAAGAAGAAAAACCCACCUCUGAAUUCUCAUGUCAAGGCUAAACCAUUUACAAAGUACAGUAGUAAAUAUGCAGGUGGAAGUGAAAAAACAAUUCAAUGCAAGUUGCAAAGAAUGGAGGGUGCACAGAGUUAUUUGGAGAGCCAGGCUGAUGGAGGUGCCACCAUUUCCAGUACAUGAAAUUUAACAUCCAACCAGCAAGGUGGAAGGAAAGCAAAUAAACAUGAAGAAGGCCCAGAAGUGACAAGUGACAUUUCAGUUCACAUUUCAUUGGUGAGAACUGGUCACAUGGCUCCAUCCCGCUGCAAAGGGCCAGGAAGUAUAAUGUAGCUGUAUGCCCAGCAGGAGGAAGUAUUUUUGGUAAGCAUGCCAGAAAGACUGCAUUACAAAUCACAAUCUCUUUUAGGUAAAGCACUAUGCUAGGCACUAAGCAAACCAAAGUAAAUCAAACAUGGUU
rnacentral:lncRNA from 1 species